GUCCAUUUCGACAGACGCACUCGCAGGUGGACUCAUCCAGAACCCUGUUGGGCCCGCAGAGAGCCAGCAGACCUGAGUUCAGCGCCUCUGGAAGCCAUAUGGAAAUUAAAAAAUGGUUUAAAGUCUGUGCUGUCUUGUAUCAGAUGUCCCACCUUGAACCUGCCGCACACCAUCCACACUUGUGUGACUGCAGUAUUUUACCCAUGAGGUGAUCUGUUGCGGCUCGUCUUAUGAUGGUGUGGAGUGGCCGCUUGGAGAGGCAUUCGCACGAAGUGUGGUUGACGAAGGUUACCAUGACGACGGAGCGAUCCAUCCUGGGCGGGGACAGUUCCAUCAGCUGGCGAGGAGAAAGACGAAGUUUCAAGGGCAAAGUAGUUACCGACAACUGCAACAUAAAUUAUGGGAAGACAGACAGACGUGAAAAGACGACAACGAAGAAGAGGAGAGACAGGAGGCCGACGAGGAGGAGGAGGGAGAAAGGUGUGUCUGGGAAACGCUCGACUGGAAAACAUCCGAUUUUUGGGCCAGUCACUGCCAGCCUUUUCGAGGAUUAAAGACGCACACCCCCGCACACACAUGCACGCACACGGUGGCAAGUGUCUGCUUGCAGUACGCUUUAUGUGUUGAAAUCCAUGCAACCAAAUUCCACAUUCCAGUCAUUGCUUUCUCCAUUUCAUCAUGGUAGCUCGGAGCACAGGAUUACAGACGAUAAAGAUGGACGUUUAUCAGUUUGUAACGCCAGGCCUUAUCUUGUUCAACAGAAGUCUAUGAUGUUUUUGAAGGUCAAAAUGUUUACGUUUAAAAUGAGAAAGCAGAUCACCUUGCACUUGGAAAUUAACUCUGAUGAUGUAGGAGGUGGCAUUUGGUUUAUCCGUGUAAGAGGAAAGGAUUAGCCGUUUCCAUGGGGGCUAAAGGGGGAAUUUAAACCUCGCUGAUUAAAUAUUUAUUGACCAUGAUCCUGACAACAAACCGAACACAACUAAACCAUGAGCAAAAGCCAAGUUAUGGAAAGUCUAAAAUAAUAAAAUAAAAUGGCAUAAUUUGUUGUAAAAGAGA